GAGGUGGGGUUGCUCAGUACAGUGCCUUGAGCAGCAUUCCAGACCAGAGACAUCUGCAUGGUCUUUGCUGGUAACAUGGGCCUGGGACAUCAACACAGACUCCAGCUGCCAUAGGACCACAGACACCGAAGCAUGGGCCUGAUGUCCUCAUGGCCUCAGGUGACAGUGCAGGUGAAUCAGAUACUUUCCUUUAAGCAAGAGGUAUGCCACUCUUUACAAGGAUGGAUGAGAUGAGAGAUACACAACACAGCCAGGAAUGGAGGAGAAAGCCAUUUCCUGUCGACUCUGUGCCAGUAGUUGUGCUGGGAAGCUGUGAGAGAGAUCCAGAGAUCAUCAUGUAAAUUCAAUGAGGAGAGAUGAAUUCCAAAGGGUGACUAGAUGACAAUAUCAUCAACUUCCUGCCCUCUGGAUCUCCCAACGAGAUCAGUGGAAAUCAUCUUUAAUGUGACCACUCCGGGAAAGGCGAAGCCUCCAGCUCCAAAGGCAGCUCUUCAAAGAGAGCUGAGUUACAGAAUGCAGGAACCUAGCAUGGCUGUCCUUUGAAAGGCUCUUCCAGUAGCUGAAUGAGACAGAUGCAGAUUCUCACAGCCAAGCAUUGGACUGAAGUUGGGGACCCCUCAGGAAGUGUUGGGGGAAGGACUGAAGGGGCUGGCAACCCCAUAGGAAGAUCAACAAUGUCGACUAAUGUGGACCCUGAGAACUCCCAGAGACUGAGCCACCAACCAAAAAGCAUACACAGCUGGUCUGAAGCCCCAGGCAUGUAUGUCACAGAGGACUGCCUUGUCUGGCCUCAGAAGAAGAUGCACUUAAUCCUGUAGAGGCUUGAUGCCCCAGGGAGAGGGACGUCUGGGGAAGUACCCUCUCAGAGGAAUCCUGAAGUAAGGAGAAGUUCCCUUGUUUUCAGUGAAUUAAAAACACUUCGUGGUUUGAGGAUAAGGAGGGGCAGGUAUUUGUUUCUUGAGAAUGACGAGCCUGAAGGAAUUGUGCCCACUUUGCUGUAAGAGUGUGCUUGCUGGCAGGACCUUAAGGAAGUAGAUGGAAGCACAGCCUCAGCCUGGCCUACCAAGGAUUUCUCUUAUGGGCUAGGAAGAAAGGAGUGUCUGAUUGUGCAGGAGCAACGGUUCAGUAUUUAUUUCCCUGUAAUUCCCAGAACUGGUGUCGACUUUAGUGUAGCUCAUCACACUGCGAGACGAGUUCCAUACCUGCAAGUAGCGGACGACUCUGCAGACCAGAGAGGAUUUCGGCUAUGACGAGGAGGAAGCGAUGGUCCCAGGAGAGGGCUUGCUAGAGUAAAGCAAGUACUGUGAGAAGACGAAAGAAGACAAAGCUGAAGGCCGGAAAUGCUUGGGUAAUUCAUCUGUCCCACACUGUGUCAGCUACCAUCUUAUUGCUUGCCUAACAUGGGCGAAGCCAGACUACUGGAAGUUUUGAAUCUUGGUUUGUCUCAAGGAACACUUGCUUUUUACUUAAAUUUUGUGUUUUUGAGAAUUUCAUAUGUGAAUACCGUACUUACAUAAUUUUCCCUCCCCCCACCGAGUUCCAACUCCCUUCAUGUUCCCUACCUGCAAAAUUCAUGGCCUUUUUAAAAUUUUUUAUUAUUUUAAACACACACACAGACACACACACACGCACACACACACACACACACAAUUGAUAAACUAUUAGAGGUCUUAUUCCUGGAGAGAACCUUUUCUCUCAGCAUCCAUUUAUUGCUUUAGUGUUGUAGAAUUAAUAUAGCUUCCCAGUGAGAAAUCGCUCCAUACACUUAGAGGUUAGUUAAGAAAAAGCUCUUUAAUAAUAGUGUGCAUCCAGCUCUGGCUAAUGUUCAGAGGAGUUGGCAUUGAACAGAAAGUCUUACCAGGUUAUAUAGGCCUUAGACUCAUGCAUUCCACAUACUGUUAUUCUUAAGUCUCUUCCUGCCCAGGACCCUCUUUUUAUACAAUGUAAACAGAGGCUGUACUGCCCACUUGGGCAGAUGGGAGAUUGACACAGCAGGGAUACUCCCAUAAUUAUUUAAGUGUACCCAAAUUGCUCCUUUCACAUAGUUGUUACCCAGGUUCAUCUUGCUCACCUGACAGAUUAUGCUUUGUUUGAUACGAACACAGGGAGCCUAAUGGCAGACAAGGACCUGGUGGUGGUUGUGACCCUGAGCAGAUGUUGAUUCAGUGAUGAGCCUAAUAGCUGGUGAUAAGUCAGGCUUAUAUCAUUUUGUUUUAGGAAUGGAGCCUAAGGAGAAGUCAGUCUUGGCGAAGAAACACUAGCAGCAACUUUCUUAUACCUCUACACUUCAAUUGUACAAAAUAUCCUUACAGUUUCUUAAAUGCCUGGCUACUACAUUAUUAUCUCUCAUGCCUAUUGAAAGGAACACUCCUUUAGCUACACUUUUUGUGUAAUUUAUCAUUUCUGUGCACACUUAUUAAUACAUUAUUUACAGCAUCAAUUUUACUACGUUGAGUUUUCCUGCAUCAGUAGCUCUUUAUCUAAAAGUGAUGAAAUGCUUAUUAUAGUAUUGUGACUUAAACUCAGGAUCACAAAUUCUAGAAAUGUGCUCUAACAUAAGCUACACUCAGGCCUUGUUCAUUUUUAUUCAAAUAUAUGUGCUGUUUAAAAUAAUGGGUCUCAACAUCUUAUUUUCAGACUUGUAUCUACCAUGCUUUAAAAAUAUUUAUGUUAUCUCUUGUUACAUAUCUCUAUGAAAUUUAUUUGCAUUUUAAAAUACCUCCUUUAACUAAUCAUUAUAUUCUUAUGCCCCACUCAAAUAUAGACAUAAUAUAUAAGAGAAAAUGUAUUUUUCUUUCUGUGUCUGGUUUAUUUUACUUAACACAACUAUAUCUGGACCUAUAUGUAUUUGUACAGAUGAUAGUUUGGUUUUUUAUGGAUAAAUCUAUACUGGCAUAUAUAAUAUGUAUAUGCACCACAGUGUAAAAACCCAUUUCUCAGCUGAUAGACACUAAGGCUGUUGCUAUACUGACUUUGAUUCAUAUACUUUGGACUGGCAAACCUGUGUUAUAUGGUGUGUGUGUGUGUUCUAGUUUCAUUUCAAUUGUGAUAAAACAUCCUGACAAACUUAGGGAGGAAGGUCUGAUUUACCUCCAGCUCCAAGUUAUGUCCCAUCUUUGAGUAAAUGUCAAGGCAGAAAUUCAUGCAGCCACUCUAGUGACAUCCAUAGUAAAGAGAGAAAAGAAUGAACACAUGUCUGCUUUCUUGCAACUUCUGCUCAGCUGGCAUUCUCCAUUUUUACAGUGCCUAGCCAGUGAAAAGGAUCUACCCACAUUCAGGACCCAUCUUCCCACCUCAAUUAACAAUCAAUACAAUUCUCCAUAGAUGUGCUCUCAGGCCAAUCUGAUUUAGAUUCAUCCUCAUUUAAGACUUCCUUCUCAGGUGAUUCUAGGUUAUGAUAAGUUGACCUUUAAAGCCAAUUAUCUCAUUUAUCAUUAUGAGGAAUGUCCAUGCUGAUUUUCAUAGUAGUGGAACUAAUUUAUAUUUCCACCAGAGGUGUACAAGGGUCCCGUUUUCUUGAAUCUUGGCAGCAUUUCUUCUUACAUCACAACACAGACAGUUGCUGUGACACUGUUUGGAAUGGGGUUGUUUUGCUCAGAAGGAGUUACCUCCCAGCCUUUCUCUGUAGCCAGUCUUUUGCUACUUUGUGGAUUCUUGU